UCAGUACGAGAGGACCAGGCUGGAGGAAUCCCUGGUGUGCCGGUUGUCGCGUCAGCGGCAACGCCGGGUAGCUAUAUUCCUAAGGGAUAACCGCUGAAAGCAUCUAAGUGGGAAGCCCACCCUAAGAUUAGAACUCAUUAUUAGACCCCUGGAACAAUACCAGGUUAAUCGGCUGGCGGUGGAAGCGUCGUAAGACGUUAAGCCUACCAGUGCGAAUCGGUCGAUAGACUUGC
rnacentral:rRNA from 1 species